UACGUAGGGUGCGAGCGUUAAUCGGAAUUACUGGGCGUAAAGUGUGCGCAGGUGGCCGCGCAAGUCGAGUGUGAAAUCCCCGAGCUUAACUUGGGAAUUGCGCUCGAAACUACGUGGCUCGAGUGUGGCGGAGGAAGGUGGAAUUCCACGUGUAGCGGUGAAAUGCGUAGAGAUGUGGAGGAACACCGAUGGCGAAGGCAGCCUUCUGGGCCAACACUGACGCUCAUGCACGAAAGCGUGGGGAGCGAACAGG
rnacentral:rRNA from 1 species